rnacentral:rRNA from 1 species
GGGGAUAACAUUCGGAAACGGGUGCUAAUACCGCAUAAUAUCUUCUUCCGCAUGGAAGAAGAUUGAAAGACGGCUCUGCUGUCACUUAUAGAUGACCUUGCGGUGCAUUAGUUAGUUGGUGGGGUAACGGCCUACCAAGACGAUGAUGCAUAGCCGACCUGAGAGGGUGAUCGGCCACAUUGGGACUGAGACACGGCCCAAACUAAUACGGGAGGCAGCAGUAGGGAAUCUUCCGCAAUGGGCGAAAGCCUGACGGAGCAAUGCCGCGUGAGUGAAGAAGGCCUUCGGGUCGUAAAACUCUGUUAUAAGAGAAGAACAAAUUGUAGAGUAACUGCUACAGUCUUGACGGUAUCUUAUCAGAAAGCCACGGCUAACUACGUGCCAGCAGCCGCGGUAAUACGUAGGUGGCAAGCGUUGUCCGGAUUUAUUGGGCGUAAAGGGAGCGCAGGUGGUUUCUUAAGUCUGAUGUGAAAGCCCACGGCUUAACCGUGGAGGGUCAUUGGAAACUGGGAAACUUGAGUACAGAAGAGGAAUGUGGAACUCCAUGUGUAGCGGUGGAAUGCGUAGAUAUAUGGAAGAACACCAGUGGCGAAGGCGACAUUCUGGUCUGUUACUGACACUGAGGCUCGAAAGCGUGGGGAGCAAACAGGAUUAGAUACCCUGGUAGUCCACGCCGUAAACGAUGAGUGCUA